rnacentral:lncRNA from 1 species
ACAGUUCCCACACUGCAGUGCCUCUGGUGAGGAGACAGCGCCACUGAGGUGAGCCUUGGGGAUCUGGGGACACAGGCAUGGGGUGGCCGGAGCCCUGGGGGGCAGGCAGAUGGGGAGAAUGCUUCUCUGCCCCAGGCAGUGGGGAGCAGCAGUGGACUGCCAGCUUCAGGUCCCCCGGGGGUCAGCAGGAGUGGGAGGCAGAGGGGUGGCCAGUUAGCCGAGAGGGACAAGGCUGGCCGGGAGCUGGCAGGCUCCGUUCCUGCCUGGGUGCCUGGCUUCUGUGGGUGGCCCUGGGCUGAGAGAGACCCUCAGGGGGACCUGAGAGGGUGGGCGGGGGCUGGGCUGCCUGGAACAGUGUAUGCCCAGUCCUGGAGUCCAGGGCUCUGACCCUGACUCUGACUGGGCUGCUGCUAUGGGGUUGCUGGGUGCCAGCAGCGGCACCGUCCAGGGGACUGUGACCCUCACAAGUGCCUGUGCUAGCAGGGGGGUUGGCGGCUGGCUGGAAUGUGCUGGGGCUACUCCCACUGCCCAGGUGGAGAGUCUGAGUGGAGGGAGAGAUCUUCCCCCUGCCAUAGGCUCACAGGUUUUACUCCAAGCUACUGAUCCCCAGACCCAUAGACCCACAUGGUAAAGACAGGCACUUCUCCCUCCCCUAGGGGUCUUUGACCAGCUCCCUCCAGACAGCAUCCCUAGAAGAGCUUUGCCCAGAGUUGCAAACAGCAGGGUUUCAACCCAGAGCCUAGAUAUUCCUGCAGUCAGCUUCCUGGAACUGGGCUGGACAGGGAGGAACGGGGGCUCUGUGGAUAGGGGUGGGGAAAGCAGGUGGAGACAGAGGCCUGGCUCCAAUGAGGCUACAAGUGUGAUUUUUGGAGACAACCAAGGGCCACAAGGAGAUCUUGAGACUCUAAAGCUGUGCAGGUGGGUGGGAAUGAUCUGAAGGGGCAGAAGCCAAGUGCCAAGGGCCCCACCCCCUUCUCGGCUGGUAGCGGGGAUGGAGAGGCAGGGCUGGAGAAAUGUAUGGCUCACACCUUUCCAGGGAGGUGGGCAGGGCGGCUCUGCUGGCUGCUAGUGGAGGAAAAGAAAAGGCCAGCCCAGACGUGAAGGGACACCAGGGAAGACCUUCUCAAUGGGAUGCAUUUUGGGGGUCUAGCCUCUGGCUCUCUGGUUGGGGCACAGCCAAGUCCUACAGCUCCCUGGCUCCCCAAGGAGGCAGUGGUGGGCCAAAUCCUGGUGAGUAGUGGUCCCAUGAGGCGGAGCUGCUAAGGGCAGUGGCCUCAUAGGACUGGGCAGAUGGGGCACUUGUUCCAGGGGCCAACUGUUUUGCCCUCUUCCCUUGGCUAGAACUUCCUCAUCUGAGCAAGGCGACAGCUGCACCUGCUCCCACCCCUGCCCCCUAGAAACCCCCGGAUGGAAGCAGCAUGUCUAGAGAGGUGGAAUCAGAGCUGUGGGCACGAGCUGGUGCCAGGCUGAGUGUCCACCCCCAGCCCACCCUCCUCCAGCCACUACAAACCAGCUGAGUCAGGGGAAGUGGAGAGCAAAGCCUCAGAACUGGCCCUAGCGGUUACUGGGGAGAUGUCUGGCCCACAGCCUUGGGGAGAAAGCCCAUCUCUCCUGGGCUGGGCACAGCUCACGACAGCCCCAUGGUCCUAUAGCUGAUGUGGCAGCCUGCCUAGGUCAUUGGCUUCCCUAUCAUCCAGGGUGUGUGUGUCCCCCACCCCUGCAUACCCCCUCCCUUCCCCUAGCAUAUCCCAAAUCCUCUUACCUAGCUACGGAUUCUGGCCUGGGGUUAAGCCAGUCCUCCCUCACCUCAGUCUGGGCCUCAUCAUGCCCCUCGCACAUGACCCAGACCCAGAGGGAGGCAGGUUGCCCUACCCAUUUUCCAGAGACAUUAGGGGGCUCUCUUCCAGGCGGCUCAGCUCACUCUGACUCCAGGCGAUCAUCCAUCAGCUCCGUGAUCUCCCAGGGCACUGUACACCCUACUGGCCAUUAAAGACUCAGAUACCAUUCCCUGCUGGUGCCUGCCUAGUGCCAGAGGCCAGCAGGUUGCUCACUCAGCCUCAGUCAGUGAGCGCCAAGGUCCCGCUGGCUCUAACUCUGGUCCUACCAUGGGAGAAGAGGGCCUCCCUGAGCCAAGAGCUCCCUGAGAUUCCCCUUGGAAGAGGCCAACACCUCUACCUUCUUUCUCUCCCUCCCUGAGCUCCCCACUUCCACAGAGCUUUCCCGCACAGAUCCACCUGCCGCUGAUACCUUCCUAAAGAGAUGAUAGGGCAAGGAUGUUUUCCCCAUUAAACAGAUGAGAAAACAGGCCUGGAGAAAGGAAGGUGGGAAGGCCAGGACUCGGACUUACCACCUGACUCCUACUCCAGUGCUCCUUCCAAGCCACUUAAAUGCCACCCUCGUGAGAUCCUACAUGAGUGGGGUCCCUAUGCCCACCAAACUGUCCACUAGCUGCCCAGCCUCUGCCCCCACAAAUCCUCAACACCCUGAGGCAUUCCCAGAGACAGAUGGGCUCAGUUACUCCCAACAGUGUUUGAGCCAGGGCUUUCGGCCUUGGUUCCAAAGCAGGCAUCUAAAGGGUUCCCUGGGCUGGCUAAAGGCUUUGGAGCUGAGGCUGCAUAGGGGAGGUGGGAGAGGGUCUCAGAGCCUGGUAAUGCACCUCUCCUAUCUGCAACCCCUUCCAUCUCCUUGCAUGCCCCCAACCCCCGCCCUCUGCUGUAAGGAAGCUGGCUCUCAGCAUUAAAGUCCCAAAACAGCUUCAUGACAUUAUUCCCUGCCAAAAUCUUCAUGAGGUUUGCCACUGAUGUCAAUGUGAAGUCAACUCCCUCGGCCAGGCACACUAGCCUCUGCCAGUCUUCUGGGCCUUCUUGCCCAACUUGCUCAUUGUAUCCCCUACACUCUAACUACACCUGUGUGUCUCCACCCUGGGAUGGGGCACAGCAGAGCUCAGAGACUGGCUGUGGGCUGCACUACACAUACACAUGCUUAUACAUAUAUUCAUGCACACGCACACAUGCACACACACACAGAUGUGCAUACAGAUGCAGACACACAUUUAUGUAGAAGCCCACCACUCAACUGCGCAUGGUUUUCUGCCAAAUCACACACACAAUGGAGCUGUCCCUCUGAGACAAGAAGGUUCCAACACAUCUGCUGUGUGGAUCCCUGGAGAGGCCAAGCAUGGUUGUGUCGCCAUCCCAAGCCCUUGAGGGGCAGUGGGGAAGCAGAAGUAGAUCCCCUGGAUCUGGCUGAGCCCUUGCUUGGCCCCAGGGUAUCUGAGCCCCAGAGAGUGGCAGAGGAUAGUCAAGCAGGUUCCAACUAGGUUCUUACCCUGGUUCUGUGGCCCUUAUGUGGGACUGUACAGUCCCCAGUAAGCCACCUUCUC